rnacentral:rRNA from 1 species
UACGAAGGGGGCGAGCGUUGUUCGGAUUUACUGGGCGUAAAGGGCGCGCAGGCGGCUAGUUUUGUCGAGUGUGAAAGCCCCGGGCUUAACCUGGGAACUGCGCUCGAAACGGGCUGGCUAGAGAUCGGGAGAGGAGAGUGGAAUUCCCAGUGUAGAGGUGAAAUUCGUAGAUAUUGGGAAGAACACCGGUGGCGAAGGCGGCUCUCUGGAGCCGAUA